CAAACUGUCAUAUGUUAGUGAAUGUGUUUGGAGGAAGCAGCCGCGGCGGCGGAGGGCGAGCAGCGCGGAGGGGAGAGGCGCACACUUUUCAGCUGCUGAGCAAAGUGUCUUCUGGGCAUGAGGGGGGCAUGGAGGAGGAAUCUGAGCAGGAAAGAGACACAAUGCCUCCGCCGCAGCAGUGCGACUGAGUGAGUGAGUGAGUGAGUGAGUGAGUGUGGGGGCACGGCGGAGGCAAGGCCGGGGCUUAUGGAAUAGAGACUGAACCGAGCAGGCUGUGAGCCGGGCUGUGUGACGUUACAGUCGGGCCGGUGAGGCCGGGCAGGCUGCCGGGGGGACAGAGCGUGACUCCGGGAACACAGAGAGAAAUAUCAGCCCCGGACUGGAGCUUUGAUCAACUGAGCGUACCGGGGGGUGGGGGGGUGGGUGGGUGUCGGUCCGCUGCUCUGCUCCGCUGUUUGCAGUCUCUCUGCACGGUGGUUCUCUCUCUCUCGCUCUCUCUUUUUACAAAGGAAUAUUGCAAACAUGCGCUGAUAUUCAUAAUGCGUUAAUUGUGCCUUAUUAAUGCGUUUAUUUUUUAGGAAUAAACAGCCCCAUUUCUGUUAAAA